rnacentral:rRNA from 1 species
UAAUACGAAGGGCCCGAGCGUUAAUCGGAAUCAUUGGGCUUAGAGGGUGCGUAGGCGGGCCCGAAAGUGUCUUGUGAAAUCCCACGGCUCAACCGUGGAACUGCAGGGCAUACUGCGGGCCUCGAGGUCGACAGAGGUCGUUGGAACUCUAGGUGUAGCGGUGAAAUGCGUAGAUAUCUAGAGGAACGCCAAAGGCGAAGGCAGGCGGCUGGGUCGAUCCUGACGCUGAGGCACGAAAGCAUGGGUAGCGAACGGGAUUAGAUACCCCGGUAGUCCAUGCCCUAAACGAUGUGCACUAGAUCCCGGAGGCUCUGACGUCAUCGGGGUCGGAGCAAAAGUUUUAAGUGCACCGCCUGGGGAGUACGGUCGCAAGGCUA